GGGGUUGUGGCUCAGAGGUAGAGCGCUCGCCUUGCACGUGAGAGACCCUGUUCGAUCCUCAACACCA
rnacentral:tRNA from 1 species